CAUGCUGGUUACCUGCUCAUGCUGUUGUAGGUAUCUGUUGCAGGAGAGGCCUUGUAGCACAUAUUUAGCAACCCACAGGCAGAGGGGCGGACACCACAUUGUGCUACCUCACAGCAUGGUGGCUUUUCUCAUCUAUUGUCAGAAUAUUAAGUUAGGACCACAUCUGGGAUGUCAAUGAGAUAGUCUGAGGUUCAGCCGCUUCCUCAGAUGGUAGCUCUGGUACUUGUUCCUACCCGUCUGUUUUCCUGCCUGACUCUUUAUUCCAUUGAAAGAUGCAUGCUGUUGAAGAAACUUGCUUCUCUGGACCUCCUUCUGCUCCUAAUUAAGUCAAUGGAAAAACUUUCUCUGACUUUUAAAGGAGCAGGGUCUGGUCCUUCCCUGAAAUUCCAGUAUAAAACACUGCACUUCCCUGACAGCUGUGUGCCUUCUGUGAGGGAGGCCAGGGCCUAGCAGCUGAAAUAUGGCUUGCUUGGGCCACUUCAAAGUGAGAGAGCGGUCAGGGAAAGUACUUACAAAUGCCAGUGUUGGCAAGGAGAGCAGAGGGACGCUCAGCUACUGCCUGUUGAGGGAUUCUGCUUUCCUUACUGAGUUUCUGAUCUGUUUGCUAUGGGGAAAUUCAUAUGUACUUAAUACCGACUACUAAAUAAUGACUGUAUUUUUGGCCCAGCUAAGCUACAGAUAGUUUUGUAGAAUGUUAAUAUGAUUUUUUGGUGGGUGGGUACUGUCAUAGGAUCUUUCAGCCUAACAUUAAAGGAAACUGUUUUGUUUUAUUCAUAGGUGCCUUCAUAUGACUCUAAUAGAUUGUAUAGUGGAUGUGCUCACCAAGCUUCUGUAAAGGUGUUUUGGUUUGUUGUGUUUUCUAGUUUUUGAAAUACCAGAACAGUAUUUUCUUAUGAGAUAUCUGUGACUACAUAUAAUAUUUUAGGCUUUUUUUUUUUUUAAAUAAAAGUUAAAGUUUCUAAUUUCCAAGUCUUUUCUUAAAACAGGGGCAGGUGUAUUUGCUGUUAACAUAAUUGUAAGAACAUAUAUGGCUUAUUUUACUAUCUAUUAUCUUUAUUUGAAUUUUCAGGUUUUGUUUUCAGUAAAUACUAGUAACAUCUAAUAUCUUGUCUUUAGUGUGGCCAGGCAGACCCUGAUAAAAAUGAAUUAUGGCACUGUAUCACAGAUCUGUCUCUGGGCUUCACUGUGUAGGUAGUGUAGUUGACAUGUCCACUUUCUGAAAAAUGGCUCUGACAGGAGUUUCCUACUUGAGAUAUCUAUCAGCAGAAUGUGUGUGUUCCCUCCUGUCUCCCAAAUGAAAAAUGAAAUCUUUUCAACACUUGUUUCCAACACCUCUUUUCCCUAUUAAUGUAUAAACAUAAAUGAUAUAUUUAAGACAGAAAUUAUUUUUCACUAUAUUUUCUUGUAAAACUAUGUAGCUGUGUAUUACAUGCAUAUUUUAAAUUUAUUUAUUUAUUAUAAAAUAAGCAUCUAAGUAUUUUUCCAUUCACUGAUUCUAACAAUGUAAAACAGUUUAUGACCCUGGGACAACAUGACUCUUGGCUUGAAUAUAUCUCGGAUCUAACUUUCAUUCCAAAGAGUAACAUUACUAAAUUAACUGAACAAAACAGUGUUAAUUUUCUGAAUGGAGGGACAGCAGGAAUGAAAUACCAUUAUAAAUUUAAAAAGUACUCUUGCUGUUGCUGUGUAAAAUUAGUGUGAGUUUACACUCACAGAACUCUGCAAUGCCAUCCUUAUCAGUCGUGUUUCCCACCCUUGGUCCAUAGAAACUUGUGUACAUGUGUACAUGUUCACACAGGCAUAUAAACAUGUAGCUGAUUCUGAAAGCUUUUAAGGGAUGGUGUCUUAGUAUGUGACUGCUGGUGUGUUAGUUCUGUUUUUGACUGCCUUUAUAAUAGUUUUACAGAGUUCUUAUAUGAUUGUUAAUCAUCUCAAAGACAAGUCUAGUUUUAAAUAAGUUGGGUCUUUAGCAAUCUAAAACUAAUUUUAUUGUGAAAACUAAUUCAAAAUGAGAAAGGACAGUCUGCAAAAGCAGAUCUAUGUGUAAAGAUAACUCUAAAUGUACAGUGCUUGGUGUUUUGAACAGCUUACUCUAGAGACGUGUGCAAUGGGUGAGACAAGAAAACAAAAGCAAGUCUCAAUGUCAAAAGACAUUGCAAAGCCUUUUUUGUACAAAGACCACAAUAAGAAAGCAGAUACACCAAUCUGGGAAUGUCCAAUGGUGGAUGAAGGGGGUAUUUUAAUGGCCACUACAACCACCAUUUAUUUGUAUUUUUCCUCUAUUAUUGUAUGUUAAUAAAUUAUUUAAAUGAGUUUUUCGUGUAGAAGUAUGUAGCGAUAUGUAAUAUUUGAAGUAAAAAUGUACCUGAUUUUUUUAGAAAUCUUUGCCUAAAACCCAGAGCAUAAAAUGAACUCUUUUAUUUGUUUACUGUGAUUUGCAGGGACCUUACUCCAUGACAAGGUUACAUUGACCUAUCAUUUCAUGCAUCAGCAGUUCUUGUAUUGCACUGAUUUGAUCAAGCCUAGUGGAUAAAAGAGGAGCAAUCCACCCAGUGGACCAAAUUAGAAUUAUAAUAAAAAGUGCACAUUCUGAAGGGCAGAGCAGGUUAAGUAGGGUAGCGCUUGGCAUCAGUUUUGUGAUGUGUCAAAAUUUAAGCUCUUUUUGUGUGUGUGUGAAUUUUUGUUCCAAGCUUUACAUUCAAAUGUCGUAUUUUGAUUUUAUGGGGUUAUGUAACUGAUGCUGUUGUUGGAGUUGAGGAAAAGUUAGGGUUUAUUUGUAGCUGCUGGAAGCAUUAUUUAGGUUAAGCAUUUUGUGAAAGUGCAAUCAGUCUUUUUCAUUUCAAACUCACAGUAAUUUCUGGGGGUCUCUCUGCUGUCAUCUCCAGACUGCACAACACCCCAUCGUUCCCUCAUUGACCAUCAUCCAGUCCUACAUACUGUGCACUUUUUAAGUCACUUUACGUUUGUUCUGUAUUGCUGUGUUAUAAUAAUCCACUGGUGAUGUGAAAUAAGAAUGCGCUGGUGGUUUGCUAAUGCUGGAAAAUCAAGACCACCAGAAACAGUAAUUACAAAUUCUAGCACCUCAUAAAUGUUAAAGAGCAUAACAGAAGCAUUCAUGUGGUUUGCUUACCAAGAAAUCCACAGAGAAAUCCAUUUAAGCACACAUUUAAGUCUCAGUGAUCUCAUGAGGACACAGUGCAUGCUGCGGUUGCAUGCGUAACAACAGGGUGGGGUGAAAGCACACAUGUCACUGUGCAACUGAGGAGUUCUGCUGAGGGGGCGGGGAAGAAGCCCACCUCCAGAGCUUGGAGGUGGCACCAGGAGGUCCUGGUUUGCUUUCUUUGUGUCAUUUAGUUUGCUUGCUUCUUGGAUUUUUAAUUUUUUUUUUCUGAAUUAGGCAUUGAUAUCAAUAAAUCACUUCAGUAGCUGUCACUGGGUGAAACACGUGGAGCCAAUAUAUAAAAUCUAAUUUAAAAAACCACCAGUAAUUUGUUUUGAUGUUGCACAUCUAUUUGGACAAAUCCUGGUAGUUCUGUUAAAUAUAUUUAUGCUGGGUUGUGUUGUGGGUUUUUUUUUUUAUUUGUUUGCUUGCUUUAAUUUUCUAUUUGGCACAAUUGUUUACAAACAACAGAGAUCAAUAGCAUGAGCAGCUGCUUACUCCAAGACUGAGAUGCACACCACCUUUAUAGCAAUAGAUUUGUUUCUCGUUUAGGUAUUCUAUUGAAUGAUGAGCUAAACUUUAUUGCUCUCAAUAUCCAUGCAGACGAUGAAAUGAUGCUGAAGAUUCCAUUUGUGUCUUUCUCUGCAUUUGUAUUGAAAUUACAGAUUUUUUUCUACUGCUUAAGGAAUUCAGUAAUACAAACGGUAAGUGGAAAAUUAACACUUUUUAGAGUUACUGGUUUGGUUUGCAGAGUAAAGAGACAAAAUUUUAAAAUCACCUUUCUGCAGGCCAGAAGAUACAUUAUUGGCACCAUUUAACUUUUGUCAUAGUACUUAUUUUAAUAUGGUUAUUAUUUAACCAGGAGAAUCUAAGUAAAUGUGGAGCUGAGUGUUUUGGUGGUGCACAUGUGAAGUGAAACUUUAAAACACGUCACUAUCCAUCCUCAGGUAAGGAAGACCUAGAGCUGAGGAACAAAACUUGCAUUAGGUGAACCAAAUGUGAAGCAGCUGUUCCAUGCUGGCUUUUCAGAAGUGGUUGCUGAAUCAGUUCAAGCAAUGCUGGGAAGGUUCACAGAAACUUGCCAUUGGGAAUAAUGAAGAUGAUGAAGAUAAAGAUUGUGAAAGCAGCAAUAUCAAGACUACUAACUGUUCAAAUGGCAGUGAUGAAGAAGGUGAAGAAAGUUAUGAUCCUGAGGAAAAUUAGUCAGGAAAUUCUAUGUUUUUCAGUAAACGAUUUUGAUCCCCCAACAGAUACAUUACAGUAUAUUGGUUAGUAUUUUUCUUCUAAAUUUCAAUAAUUUUUACUAUCACUAAUAUCGAGCCCUAGAAUUUCUAUAGUCAUGUUACUUUCGAACUUAUACCUGCCUUAUACCUUGUUCUCUAACUUGAUGACAUGUUCAUACUUGAUACAUAGAGGUAGUUGGAAGUAUUAGGUCUGCUGCAUUAGACUUGAAUGGGGCCUUUCAGUACGAUGACAGGGAACUCUCUGUUCUGCAAAAUUACAAUAGAGUUUUGAGUGACAGAAAUGCCACCUAAAAAUGAAAACACAACUUGCUGAAAAAUGUUGUUGAUUUAUGGAUUGACCCAAACAAAACUGCUGUUAAGAGUACCUCAACUGAAAAACUUUAUCCAAGUUCUUCAUCUUGUUCAGAUUUGGAGAUAAACUAUAUAACACUGUAUAAAUGUCAGUUGUAAAACUAAUCAGAAAUUAUACUUAACUGAUAAGAUUGUGACUUUUGCUAGUUUUGUAUUAAUUAUUGUUAACAUUUAUAAAAGUUAUGGACUGAGCAUGCACUACAGCAGAGCUGAUAGAUGUGACUGCGAGGACUGAGGAAGUUACAAUUCUCAUUUUUGGUGGCUUUGGUCUGUGUAAAGAAAUUACAUGAUUGAGUUUCUUUAGUAAAUUUACCACCAAUAAGUCAGCUAUUUCACUUGUCACAGGCUGUAGAAGGAACAGAAGUUUGCAGUAGUGGAUAAGGCAUAAGUAUGUCAGCUGCUUUCCAGAGAUAAGUGGGGUAGGGGACUUCUUUUCUCACUUAAAUUGAAAGGAAUUAAAACAAUCAAGCCCUCUGACACAGUGAUUUCUGAAUUACUAGUUUUUGUGUCUGCAUCACUCAUCUCCUCUUGCUUUUAUUUAUUUAAUUAAUUAAUUUAGAGAAUUUUUGUAAAAGAGAACCAUUUGCUUAAGUCUCAUAUGAUGGAUUUUAAAAGUGAUGAGGAAACUCAUACACUGGAGAUUGUUCCUCCUACAUUAUAAACGUGCUCAUUGUUCCUGGGCUGACUUUAAGACUUUUAAAUGAUGCAGAUAUGCUCUUGAGAAGCAAAUUCCCUUUUUAGUUGAGUAUCUCAAUAAUAGAUCGGAUGUAUAAACUCAAGAUGGUUUACAUUUUGUGCUAAUAUCUUCUGCCAUUUUUAAUGCAGGCAUCUAUGUGGGAUGUCUGCCAUAUGUAUUACCUCAAAUCAGUUGGUGUCCAUAUGGUGAAGACUAAGUGAACCAUGUUACAGUGCUGAAAGAAACAGAUAAUAAGCCAAGUGCUUUUAAAAGUCUGCAUUGACUGGCAUGCCUAUUAAAAGGUAUGCAUCUAGCUGCACAGAUAGAGCAAUUCUUUUGCUUCAAGCUGAUUUAAAAAAUACUCUGACUUCAGCCAUGCUACUGCAGGUCAGGCUUGUUGCCAACUCUUACUGUAUUUACAGUUUAUUUUUAAAAAAAUUGUAUGAAUUUUAUUGUAUGAAAUCCUAAGUUAUACUGGGAGGGAGAAUUGGUCUGAGUGUAAUCACGUUCAGUAAAGCCAACUAAUGAAAACCAAAUAUGGCUAAUAUGCAGUUCUGGGGCAGGCAGAAGAUACAGUAACCAUAUUUUAUUAAACACAUGAACAUAUUAAGGUUUACUAUUGCUUUCUUCUACAGAAAUUCUAAGGCCUAAUAUGAAUGUCUGAAACUAUGUAGCAGCCAUUUGAUGCUAUAAUUUUAAGGAUGUUAUUUCCUUUCACCUCAGCAUAAGAAAAGCCUCUAUUUACCAACAGUGACUAUAUCAUAGAACCAUGUUGCUGAAUGAUGCUUUGUGUGUUUUUCUAUGAGAAUCAAAUUAUCUGGUAAUAAAGAAAUGGUCUAAGUUUAUAA